UUUCCGUAGGUGAACCUGCGGAAGGAUCAUUAUUGUAUAACCGAGGUGCGAGGGCUGUCGCUGACCCGAAAGGUCGUGCACGCCCGAGGGCCCUCACACACAUCCAUCUCACCCCUAUAUGCACCACCGCGUGGGUCCCCCUUUGGCUUGUUCGGAGGGGGGCUUACGUUUUCACACAAACUUUGUAUGCAGUGUAGAAUGUAUUUUUUGUUUUUGCGAUCACGCAAUCAAUACAACUUUCAACAACGGAUCUCUUGGCUCUC
rnacentral:misc_RNA from 1 species